rnacentral:rRNA from 1 species
UACAGAGGUGGCGAGCGUUAAUCGGAAUUACUGGGCGUAAAGCGUGCGUAGGCGGUUCUCCAAGUCCGUUGUGAAAGCCCCGGGCUCAACCUGGGAAUGGCAGUGGAAACUAGGGGACUGGAAUCUGGCAGAGGGGGGUGGAAUGCCGCGUGUAGCAGUGAAAUGCGUAGAGAUGCGGCGGAACACCGAUGGCGAAGGCAGCCCCCUGGGCUGAGAUUGACGCUCAGGCACGAAAGCGUGGGGAGCAAACAGG